AGAGUUUGAUCAUGGCUCAGAUUGAACGCUGGCGGCAGGCCUAACACAUGCAAGUCGAGCGGUAGCACAGAGAGCUUGCUCUCGGGUGACGAGCGGCGGACGGGUGAGUAAUGUCUGGGAAACUGCCUGAUGGAGGGGGAUAACUACUGGAAACGGUAGCUAAUACCGCAUAACGUCGCAAGACCAAAGUGGGGGACCUUCGGGCCUCAUGCCAUCAGAUGUGCCCAGAUGGGAUUAGCUAGUAGGUGGGGUAACGGCUCACCUAGGCGACGAUCCCUAGCUGGUCUGAGAGGAUGACCAGCCACACUGGAACUGAGACACGGUCCAGACUCCUACGGGAGGCAGCAGUGGGGAAUAUUGCACAAUGGGCGCAAGCCUGAUGCAGCCAUGCCGCGUGUGUGAAGAAGGCCUUCGGGUUGUAAAGCACUUUCAGCGGGGAGGAAGGCGUUAAGGUUAAUAACCUCAUCGAUUGACGUUACCCGCAGAAGAAGCACCGGCUAACUCCGUGCCAGCAGCCGCGGUAAUACGGAGGGUGCAAGCGUUAAUCGGAAUUACUGGGCGUAAAGCGCACGCAGGCGGUCUGUCAAGUCGGAUGUGAAAUCCCCGGGCUCAACCUGGGAACUGCAUUCGAAACUGGCAGGCUAGAGUCUUGUAGAGGGGGGUAGAAUUCCAGGUGUAGCGGUGAAAUGCGUAGAGAUCUGGAGGAAUACCGGUGGCGAAGGCGGCCCCCUGGACAAAGACUGACGCUCAGGUGCGAAAGCGUGGGGAGCAAACAGGAUUAGAUACCCUGGUAGUCCACGCCGUAAACGAUGUCGAUUUGGAGGUUGUGCCCUUGAGGCGUGGCUUCCGGAGCUAACGCGUUAAAUCGACCGCCUGGGGAGUACGGCCGCAAGGUUAAAACUCAAAUGAAUUGACGGGGGCCCGCACAAGCGGUGGAGCAUGUGGUUUAAUUCGAUGCAACGCGAAGAACCUUACCUGGUCUUGACAUCCACAGAACUUAGCAGAGAUGCUUUGGUGCCUUCGGGAACUGUGAGACAGGUGCUGCAUGGCUGUCGUCAGCUCGUGUUGUGAAAUGUUGGGUUAAGUCCCGCAACGAGCGCAACCCUUAUCCUUUGUUGCCAGCGGUCCGGCCGGGAACUCAAAGGAGACUGCCAGUGAUAAACUGGAGGAAGGUGGGGAUGACGUCAAGUCAUCAUGGCCCUUACGACCAGGGCUACACACGUGCUACAAUGGCAUAUACAAAGAGAAGCGACCUCGCGAGAGCAAGCGGACCUCAUAAAGUAUGUCGUAGUCCGGAUUGGAGUCUGCAACUCGACUCCAUGAAGUCGGAAUCGCUAGUAAUCGUAGAUCAGAAUGCUACGGUGAAUACGUUCCCGGGCCUUGUACACACCGCCCGUCACACCAUGGGAGUGGGUUGCAAAAGAAGUAGGUAGCUUAACCUUCGGGAGGGCGCUUACCACUUUGUGAUUCAUGACUGGGGUGAAGUCGUAACAAGGUAACCGUAGGGGAACCUGCGGUUG
rnacentral:rRNA from 3 species